ensembl:lncRNA
UUCCCUCAAGUGCUUUACAUCAAUCACUAUAAUGUACAAAAUAUCAGCUAUACAUAAACCAUAGAUUUCCCCAUAAAAGUAGUUAUUUUAACCAACAUUCUCAAUAAAUACAUAUAAAUACUAGUGCUUUCAGCAUUAAUCUCCUUAAAAUAACGUUAACGCCACGUGGGGCUGCACGGCGUCAACGCGUUAGCACAGUUAGCUCGUUAAAGUGUUAGCGCCAUGCAGCCCCACGCAUGGGGUGAGAUUUGCCGCGUUAAUGCGGUUAUAGCGUUAACGUCAUUUUAAUGAGAUUAACACUGACAGCAGUAAUAAAUACACAUAUAAAAUCUUUACAGCUGUUUAGUACUCAGUAGAUAAAGUUUUACCAUCAAAUCAUUUUCUCAACCUGGAAUCACAACAAAACCGCUUUAGUUUCAUAAAGUUCAUAAACACUGUAUGUGGAAAUGAUGACAGCUCUACACAAAGAAGUUACUCACUGCUGCUAAAAGCAGAACCAGGCAACACUUUGGGGUGUCUGGUGUUUAGCAUGGGUAAUUUGUGUUGCAAUGUGGGGUUGAGUUCCUGAAAUUUCAAUGUUGAAACCAUACAAAUACAUGAUAAUCAAGUGAAUACUGAUAACUAACCCCCAACCCAUUAAUGCACCCCCCCCCCCCCCAAAAAAAAAAACAAAACAAAACAAAAAAACAAAGAAAAACCUCACAUUACCAUUUUCUAAUAAGGCACCACUUAUCAGUGGGUUUAUUUAGUGUCAAUAAAUCUUUUGCUAAUGGCUUAUAGAAAAAUGAAGCACACAAAGGCAGACUGCAGUAGGCACAUAGUGUGAAGGCACUUUACUGGAUAGAAGAUAAUCUUUAAGGUCUCCGCUGUUUAAGUAGAAUCACAUUUUACUAACAUCAGGCAGGAAGAAGUAGCAGGUACUGCUAGUUAGCAAAGCUAGGCUACAUAGCCCUUAGCACCACUCCUAUCUGCUCCUGUGGCAUAGCUAAUGUUUGGUGCGCUUGUUGCGAGGCGAUAUCAAGAGCCUACCUUCUGCUAACCGUCACAACAUUUUUGACAUGGACAAAAAAAGCACAUAGGUGAAAGACAAACACAUGCACAGGAAGUUUAUUUCUCAUUUUAAGCAUAAAGAUAUAAAAAAUGUAAACAUUAGCCUAGCUUAAUAUUUAUGUUUCUUAGCUUAAAUAGCUGCUAUGUUUCCUGCAUUCUAUUGUGAAUAAAAUACAGGCUCAUUUACGUUUUAAAUAGUGUCCAAACUUUCUUAGAACUUUGGUUGUAUAUGAUGUUGUAAUAUUUAUGACACACCAUGCAGAAACCAUGGUCUCUCUCACUUUUUUUCCGCUUCACUCCGCAUGCGAGCCUUCUGCUUUGCGCUGAGCAGAGGAGGGAGGGGCGGUAGUUACACUUGCAGUAGCACAGGAACAGAGCGGGAGGGAGAGAGAAAGAGAGCCAGGGACAACAACGUCACAUUAGAAAGGUAUAGUAAUCAUCCACAACUAUUUUCAGUUGCAGAUGAUAAAGGAUUCAGAAAGUUUAUUCAUGCAGGUCCAUAUGACAGAGAAUGUGCAUGUUCUUUUUGUUUUCAUAGUUUAAUUUAUAUUUAAUUGCGUUGUGGUUUGUAGUGUUUUGUGUUUUUUCACUUUAAAAAUUUUAAAGGAAAAAGCUGAAAAUUUAAAUAGUUAAAAGUUGAACUGUGAAUAGUUGUUUUUUGUAUUAUAUGAUUUAUUUAUUACAUUUUAUGUGGAGUGAAUAAAUAAAAGUAUAUUUACAGUGGCCCCUACAGACAAAGCACGUAAAAACUCCAAAACACGUAAAAACUCCAAAACACGUAAAAACUCAGAAGCACAUAAAAACUCAAAACACGUACAAAAGACAACAGAAGUGCUCCAGAAUGCUAGGGUGCAGUUUUGAGCUUUUGUUACCUAGUGGCUACACAAGCCAGGAAGUACCAACGACUGGAUUUGGUGUGUGGUAAUAACAGGUAAAUAAACAUUUUUUUAAAAUUAUUUGAAUAUAUAUGAGUGCUUGUGUAUAAAUACACAAACAAUACACAUAUGCUUUCAGUUGUGUAAUUUAAGUGAUCUGGUAGCUCUGUUUUGGAAGUUCAGUUCAUGCUAGAAAUGUGUUUUGGAGUUUGUACGCGUUUUGUCUCUAGGGGCCACCGUAAAUAUUUAUAUAUAAACAUAUAUAAGUAAAACCACUUUGUUUUUACAUUAGUAAUUCCUUUUGUGCAUAAUUUUAUAUUAUUGUUAAUAAUAAAUUAAUUAAAGCAACAAAACAACCUGAAGAGCCGGUUCAGAGCCGAAAGUGCCGGCUCUUUUUAGUGAGCCGAACCGAAAGAGCCGGUUCUCUAAAAAGAGCCGGAAAUCCCAUCACUAAUGCAAAUGGUAUUCAUUUGUAGGCUACAAGAAGCUGUGAAUCGACCACAAUCCACACCCCGUUACAGCCCAAAGACAGAAAAGCUGCUAGCAUCACCAGCGGGGGAGGUUUUUCUUGCUGUCUGACAUAAAUGAUAGUGUCGAUGGGAUCUCCCUCCCACAUCCAAGAGGUUUGCUGGGACAAUGAUGGAAGAUGAGUUCUUUAUUUGCAGUUUAUGCAUGAGAAACUACUUGAUAAAUUACAUUUUACAGAUGUAGCUUUGAGAGAUAUUUGCAGACAGUGAAUGUUGGAAUGUUCAGUUGUUCUUGAUUGUGUCAUUGCUUGACUGUUGUUGUCUCAGUCGGAGGUUUUGGCCAGUGUCUCCCAUGCUGCGUCACGUUUAUAUUGCAAGGUAAGAUGUCAAAGAGCCGCAGCCGAGAAUUAACUGGACUUAGCCCAAAACUAGAAUGAAUGCAUUUUAGUUUUGUAGCUCUAACACCAUCAAAGCUUCUACAGCUGCAAAAUGAAUGGUCUGUUUUAUGAUAAUGAUUAUACAUUCAAACUUAUAGUUGCUGAUGGAUUCAGUAUGAAUUCAGUCAAUGAAGACAGAAUGAAUUACCAAUGACAUAAAAGGGUUUGUUGACUACCACUUAUACCUCUGUAUAAAUGGUGCCUUUUAGAAAGUGGAGCCAGUCACUUUACGAUAAUGAAAAUGGUUUAUUAGUAAUACUUUGUGAUUUGCUUUUGUAGUUUGUACCAUGAUUUCUAAUGCUAAUGACAAUAUAACCUGAAGUGAAUCUUAUACCACCUGAAAGCCUGUUUAUUUGUUGCCACAUUUGUACAGAAAGUGCAUUUGUGGGUUGAGCAGCAGAGUUCAGUAUGUGGGUUGUGCCCAUGAAAAACUUGCUAAAUCUUCUCUUCCAAUGCCAAACAAAUUAUUCUGCUGACUGAUGUUUGAUGUUGUGUAUCGAAUUGGAUGACUGAAGUGUGAAGAGACAAGACAUAUUUGCAAUUUAGGAAGCAGGGGCCUCAGUAACAUGUGGAAGCACCAUACACAACCACAACAGCCGGUCACUUCCUUCUCAUGCGGGUCAUUAGCUUGGUCAC